UCGAGAAUUUUUCUCAAUGGGCGAAAGCCUGAAGGAGCGACGCCGCGUGGGGGAUGAAUGGCUUCGGCCCGUAAACCCCUGUCAUUUGUGAACAAAUUGUUUCACCUAACACGUGAAGCAUUGAUUGUAGCGGAAGAGGAAGGGACGGCUAACUCUGUGCCAGCAGCCGCGGUAAUACAGAGGUCCCAAGCGUUGUUCGGAUUCACUGGGCGUAAAGGGUGCGUAGGCGGCCAGGUAAGUUUGAUGUGAAAUCCCGCAGCUCAACUGCGGAACUGCAUUGAAUACUAUUUGGCUCGAGGAAUGGAGGGGAGACUGGAAUUCUCGGUGUAGCAGUGAAAUGCGUAGAUAUCGAGAGGAACACCAGUGGCGAAGGCGAGUCUCUGGACAUUUCCUGACGCUCAGGCACGAAAGCCAGGGGAGCAAACGGGAUUAGAUACCCCCGUAGUCC
rnacentral:rRNA from 1 species